UGGCUUACUGUAUAUUCUUUUUUUAUCCUUGACUGUUGGAUCAGUUUAGGUUCAAUUGUAAAAUAUUAAGCGGUUAUAGAAUUAUUUGUACAUGAAAAUCUGAGUUGAAGGUGAUACAUAUAUCACUAGAGUUUUUGAAAAUAUAAUUUGAAAACCAUCUGAAGUUGAUGUAAAUCUGGUUAUAGGCAUGAGUUUUGUGACCUCUGUUUCAGAUACAGUUUCUGCCUUUGGAUUUAAAUAUUUCCUUCCCUUUUCAUUGUUCAGGAAAUGAAGCUUGAAACUAUCUUAGUUUUAGACAUUUACCUCCAAGUUUCAAUAUUUUAAAAUCUUUUAAAAACCUUUUUAAUUCAUAGAAAAUUUGAGGAUUUUUUUCAUGAAGACUUUAGUAAAAGGGUUGUAAACUUUAAGCUUUAUGUAGCAAGUGGGUAUAUUUCUUGAAAUGUAAGAUACUCACUGAGCUUUUUCUGAGUAAGGGAGGUAAAAUAAUUUUUUGUCACAUUCAUGUAUGCGAGGUAGGACCUGCAGAAGUUUACCGGUUUCUGUGGAAUUAAUUUUCAUUAUGUUUUCAUCUUUUAUUAUAUUGUACACUUUUUAUCACUGCUUUGCAUUUGUUUUUAUUUUAUUAGUGUGUUAUUGGUCAUCUUCCUUUCAGUAAUUAUGACACUUUAUGGAUACUAUAUUGCUCUAAUAAGGGCUGCAAAUGAGUAACAUUCACAACCCUAAAUUUGACUCCUAAGUACAGGAUUCUAAGGUACCUAAGCAAAAGUAAUACUCAAAUUUAACCACUGUAUGCCCUGCUUGCCCACUAGGUUCAUUAGGAUCUGGUCAGCUCUGACCCAGAAGUCCACAGCUCUUAACAUAAGCAUGACACAACCUUCUUAGAAGCCUUGCUAACUGGAACACAAAUAGAUCAAUCCCACAGUAAAUUAAUGCUCAAGUAAGCUGUCUAAAGAGCUUAGGGGGGAAAAACAGGGAGGAACAGGGAAAGGGAGAUAAAUAGUGCUUCAUACAUAUUCAAACUUUUUUAGGUUCAAAAUCAAUAGCUCUGUAAUCACGUGGUGCACCUGACCAAAAACUUCACAUCGGAAAACAGUUCAGAGUCAGAAAAAGGUUGAAGGGAGCUGUAUUUCUUCUAAUUUUUUUUUUCUAGGUACAAUUCUAUUUCAAAACCAGCCCACCCUACACCCUGUCUUACCAAAUACGUAAUUUUGUCUGCGUGGGGUAGCAUUCUCAUGCAGCAAGGCUGAAUUUUAAGAGAAGAGAGACUUAGGAUUGUUGUUCAGGAAAGUGGACAGGGCAGAUGAGGUACUGUGAGCAUAUGGACUGGACAUUUAUUUCAGGUAACUUAGGAAGAGCUGACAAUUAAAAGCAGAGACAGUCUUUAUGUUUCCUGGCAGCUGCAUAUUUACCUGCAUUUACUGAAGUAGUAAUUUGUCAUUUAAGGAUUGUUGUCUGUUGUCAGCCUUCUCAAUUUAUUGGAGUCUGGCUGGCCCUGUUAACAUGGAGGAUGGGGUGUCUGAGAUCACAGCCCUGUGUCCCUUCUCCAGUUCUGCUGUAGGGCAGGAUGGGGGCUGCCAGGCCAUAUCCUGUAGUACUUUCACAGAAGUGAGUAGCUUGGAAAGUUGUGGUGGUGAAUAUUUGCAGGUAGUGCCAAGUGCCUUGCUGUGGGAGUCUAUAUAAAAUGGAUUACAGGGCAGUCUGGAGAUGUCAGCUGAGCAUGUUGUAUAAAUAUGGGCAGUAUAUUUCACACAUGGGUGAGGUUGUACCUUACUAUACCUGUCUUCAUGAGGUCAGGAGAAUGGUCACAGUCACCAUGGCAAAUCUUACAAAAAAAGCUGUAUUCACAAUGGUCUAAUACACCCACAGCCUUGUGCAUCAGUGUCAGACAGCAUUUCUUCAGAAAGGAUGGGACUCUGCUGCAGGAUACAUUACAGAAUACUGCCCUGUAAUGUUCAUGGGCAAGGCAGGAACCAGCAGCCAUGGUGGAUCUGGUUACUUGGAUUCGUUCAAGAACCAACAAGAUCAGUGUUUUCACUCUAUUAGAUUAUCUCACAUGGACUUGCUCACCUCCAGCAUUAUAUUUAGUAGGUCUUGGCUUCCCUUCCCAGCAGGGAGGUCAUGGCUGGUCCAGGAAAGCUGGAGCCAAAGCCAUGUUGGAUCUCUGUGUGCCACUGCUUGUGGAUACUGGCCUCAGUCAUUGCAGACCAAGGUCCCUGAGCACCCCCUGGCAGUUGUUUCCACACAUACCCCCUGACCCCUGAGAUCUUUACUCCAGCUGAGAUUUUCACUGCCUUCUUUCCAAGCCUCUUUUUUUUUUCUCCUCCAAAGCCAUGUCUCUUUUUUUUGGGGGGGGGUGAAACCUUCUUUGAGGCCCCUAGUCUCCCAUUUUCUCAAGUAAUCUGUGUAGAAACACAAUGCAUGAUCAGCCUCCUAAUUGGGGGUUCUGUCUCUGUAUUAAUUGGAGGAGUUGGGAUGUGCUGCUGUUCAGUCACAACGUUAUCAAAAUUUAUAUCCAGACUGCACUGGUUGUCAGUGGAAGCUAGUAGUCUUCCUGAGGUCAUAAAGUUCAGUUUCAGAUAUUCACACUGGUAUAGACACAUUCAUCACCUGCUUGCUAUUGCUUAAUUUUAUUUUUUUUUUCUUGCAACAGCAAUGCACCAAAGAUGCCUGAAAAUACAAAAAGAAACCCUGCCUGUUCUUGGGCUUUGUCCAUGGGAAGUGGACUGCGUCACCAUGCUAACCACAAGAAAAACAUUCCAAUCUUACAGUGUUCCCUGUACUCAUCUCAAAUUAACUUCUCCAGGAGGGAUAACAUUUUAGGCGCAUUUGUUGAGGAGGAAAAUUGAAGCAGGGAGAUGAUAAAGACUUACUGAGAGCUAGCACAAUAGCUUGGUGGCAGGACCAGGAAAAGAGGAAGAGAUCUGACCUCACUCUGGUCUCUUGGAGUACUUAAUUGUUGUAGGGGCCUCCAGUCGGUAAUGAGUCUAAGACAGUGGAAAGCACAAUUUCUCACGGGGGCGGGGGUUGUGGUGAAGAUGUUCAUUUCUCUCCUUUUGUUUGAGAGCUGUCUUUGAAGGCAUUGUUCUUCCACAGCUGCAGUAGCCUACAUUCAUUGUGAUAAUUGUGGGACAAUACAUAGAAUGGAUGAUUGAUACAUGAGAUAAAGUUGUGUAAGAAUAUUACUAGACGAUCAUAUGGAGAUAAUAAAUUACACAAAGACAGCUCAAAGAAAUAAGCUAAGGACAAUUUUAGUGGGGUACAAUGUGGGACAUGGCACAGCAGAUCCAAAUAGGGAUAAAAUGAGUAAUAGGGAUAAAAAUGAGUAAGAGAAACAGCAACCAAAACAUUUGCUGGAACAAGUCAUAUAACAAGUUUGCUGGACACAAGUUAAAGUAUUAAAGAUAGGUGAGUAGCUCAUGGGCAGAAAAGGAAACAAAUUCUCUGUGCUCAUGAAGAUCUCUACUGCCUAUGCACCCUGUCAUCUUUUUUUCCAUAUAAGAAGGAGCUGGAAGUGCACUUCUUUCUUUCUCCAGGUUUACUUAUGGGGUCUGGAUUUUUAGGAGGUUGAGUCUGAGAGUCACUGCAAAGCUCGCAGACCAGUCUGGACAUACUCAAAGAGUCAGUAAGGUGCCAUAGUAAAGAGGUUGCUGCCUUUCAAAAUGUGAGGUGAGCUCAAUGGUUUCGAAGCAGAACACAUAUCAGUGUUCCUAUCUGAUGGGUGUAAGAUGGAGAAAGCAAAGAGCAGACAAAGUUUGGUUUGGAUUUUAUUUUAAAAUUCUUUUUUGAGGACCCUUUGUAAAUUUGUUGCCAGUUCCAUGUUGAGAUGUCUGAGAGACAGGCUUUCUUACAUUUUCCAACUCUUCUAAAUUCUCACUGUUUAUCAAUCAUACUGUAUGGCCCUGACAGUUUGAACUCUCAGUGAAUAUAGUUUUAAGAGCACCUUGAAAAUUUUUAUAAUGAAAGAGUAGAUUAAAAAGGGAAGAUGCAAUUUUUACUACUAAAGUAGUAUCUGAAAUAAAUAUACUCACUUAUUACUAACAUUCCUCUACUUAAGUUUUUUAGUACAUAUGUAAUAAACAUGGUUGCUUCAGGAAAAUUCAGUGGAAGGAGAAAUGGUUUAGGCACUUCUGCCAGCUGAUCACUCUGUGGCUGUGGGCUUCUCUUCCGUCUGAGAACAAUAGCUACUUCAUAAUGCUGUGAUUGCUGUGAAUCCCUGUUCUGAAUGCAGCCUCAGCCAGGAAGGUGAAGGGGAAGCUGACUUUCCUUUCUCACUGUUGAACUUCUAAUACAGAUGUUGAUCUCUACAAUAUGUGUUGCUGCUUUCAGUCAAUAGACUAUGAUGUCUUAGAUCUCAAUAAUUAUGCCCUCCUUGCCUAACAUGACUGGUAUUUCUAAAUGUCUGGUAUAUCCCAUAGAUGGGUUGUCUGUGGCAUAAUGUAAUCUUAAGGACUUUGAUCCAAACUUGUUGAAGGCAGUGGGAUGUGUCUGUUGACUUCAGUGGUUUUUAAGGGGUCUGAAAGAGGUAGAGGAUUUGGACUAGAGCAUAAGUUUAUCAGCUAAUACUGCCUGCAGCAGCACAGCGUGUUCACCACUAUGUUAAAUCACCUUUAAUGCAUUUAAAGAGGUCAAAUUUUUCUUCCCCUCUCAAAGUACUGAAAACGUUUCAGUAGGCUAUGCUAAUCUUUUGCAGUGCUCUUAUUUGAAUAUAAUGAGCAUCAUGAGCUGCAUAAUGAGCACAGAAUGUUGUGAAACUUACGUGUUUUAAAUUUUGAAGCAAGGUUCAUUCAUGACAUCAUGUGUUAAGUUUCAUCCCCCAGGGAAGGUGCGUGUGUGGUUUUUGUUUUGCUUCUUUUGGUUGGUUAUUUUUUUGAAACUGAGUUAUUAGGCCCUGAAAAAUGGAAGUGCUGAUAUAAUCUGAAACAGUAUUUCCUGAAGGGCCCUGUUAGAGCAAUAGUCUAAAAGUCUAAUAAGUCCCAUUGUGGGAGUCAUUUGUCAUUUUAUCCCUGCAGGCAAAUUUUUAAAGGUUAGUGAGGGCUAUUUGUCAAAGUUAAAUGAUGCUUUAAAUUUUGUUCCCAAAAACCAGGCAUUUUGUGAAUAUUCCUAGUGGUCCUCUUCAGAUUAUCUUGGUAAAAAAAAAGUUUGGAAUAGGAUAGAUGGAGAAGAAAGUGUCUGAAGCAAAUUGCUUAUACACUUACUUAAUUCUGAAGAACACAUUUGCUGUACAAAAAGUUUCAACUGCACAGUUUUGUUCUUUGCCAAUAGCCAAUAUGUGGAAAAAUGCAGGUAUUUUUAAUAGGAUUGGUUUAAAAGGUGAAACUACUUCAUUAGUGGCUAAAAGUAUAGGAAUCUUGCUGUUGAUUCUUCUCUAGAUGGGAAUGCUAUCUUGAAAUUCCAAAAUGUUGCCAGGAUAGUUUCAAGUGUUUAUACUUGUUGAUGGAAAUCAAGCUUCCAGUCUAGUGAAAUCCUUCUGCUUAUCUCUGAUAGGAUUUAACAAAGUUUUGACAUGCAAAGUAUUUACAAUAGUAGGGAAAAGGAUACAAGAAUGCUGCCUUUAAAGUAACAAAAUGAUUCAUGGUCAUUGCUUUUUGACAUGUUCUUUAAAGCAUAAUGGUAUGAAAAUGCUUACAAAUUAAAAUUGUAUUCCACUUAACUAUGGCAUUGGCAUUUUACAAGAGUUGGGUAAGAACCUUUCUCCUUUUAAUUAAAGCAGUCUAGUGGGGAUUUUGUAUUUUUCAUCAAGUUGCUAGUUAUUUUGUCUGACAGUGCAAAACUGGAGAGUUGAGAUGGACGACUUUAUAGUCAACAUGUUGCAGGCUUAUAGGAUCUGAUUUAAAGUAGCCCAUAGAGAAGUGAUAGUCCUUCUGUGUACCUUGAUAAUCAGACACCCCAACAGAUAAAACAAAUAGCAAAACAAAAAAGGGAGUACUUAUUUUUCCUGAUUUUUUAAUCAGCAAACUCUUCCCUAAAGAUGGAUCAAAUCCUCUUAUUUAAUUUAUUCAGCAUAAAUGAAUUAAAUUAAAACCUGAUUAGCCCACAGCUGGGAGAAUCUCUCUGCAAUGACUUGGAACACUUGCUAGGGAUUAACCCCAAAUCCCAAUUCUUCUUCAUUGCCUGUUCUAAUAGCAUCAUUUGUUCAUGACGUUAGAGUCCUUCUUUCAGAGGUUACUGAAAUACUUACGUGCCUUUAACCUUUCACAUUUUAAAUGCUUAUGAUUAACUUCAUCAACAAGAAUUUUCUGAGAAUCAGUCUGUGAUUCAGUAUUUAUGAAGCUGAGUGCAUGAAUUGCACUGAAGUAUUAUUUAACUCUAAGCAGGAGAAGAAUUGCUGUGAUUGAUUCCAUUAGCUUGCUGUCAAGCUAUGGAUGCAUCUUUUCUGCUAAAGACAAAAGCCCUUGUGAAAGUACUUGCUCAUUAUCCUGAAAUAAUAGGAUAAUACUAUGCAGUUCAGUAUGAAAAGUUUUAUUCUUACAUCAACAAUAUGUUAAUGAUAAGCAUAACAUUUGCCUAUUGACAGACUGAUUUCUUCAGAACAAUCAAUUAUUACAUAUCUAAUGUUUUUAGAAAUUUUACAAAGAAGUUGCAUUUUUAAGGCCAGAUCAUAGCCAAAAGGUGGCAGUAUUCUAUUCAAUAUUCAUUUACAAAACAGUAUAAAAAUGCAUGUAUUUAUUGACACUUUGCUUCUAAUAUCUGAUCAAACUGGAUAAUCGUAUCCUAAAAAUAGUGUCCAUUUAUGAAAAGGACUUAUUUAGACUGAAUGUAGAAAUUAAAUUUGUUGCUUAUACAUUAAAGUUUGCUAAAAAUAAUCUAGUUUGUAAAUUUUAAUUAUUAUGUGUUUAGUGUUUCACAUGACACCUACAUUGUCACCAAAAGAGAACUCUGUGGCCUGGGGGUUUUUAUGAAGUGCUUAAGAACAUUAGAACUUUUUCUGCAAGUGUUGGCAGAGUUAACUCAUUUUACCUUCAAAAAGAAAGAAAUUAAUCUCCACAUGCUUUUAAUAUGAGCCAAAACUGCUGCAUUAAAACCAAUUUGUUUUAUACACCCUAGAGAUUGGUAAUAUUUUUCAUUAAGUAAGUAUGGGCUUUUUUGUGCUGAGACAACAAUAACUUGAAGAAUUGCUGAAAUAUUGCUUUUCCUGCUUGCCAAGUUGUUUAGCUGUACAUCAGUGGUUUGUGUCAGGAUACAUUGAGAUUGAAGUUUGACUGUUAGUAGGAGAGAAUGCUUGCAAGUGCAAUUAUGUUCAAGCAAAUAUUUUCAUGUAAAUUUUGAUCCAUUGUUACAUCAGAUGUUAUUAUGAAUUUACUGUAGUUAUAGAGUAAGUUUAAGUCAAAUAAGGUAAAUAUAUAUUCUAUUUUAAUGUAUGAAAUACUUUUAAAAAUCACUUCUUGUCACAGUCUUUUAGAAAUAUUUAAGAAUGAAGGAUCUAUUCUCCAAAUAUUGGCCAUUCCAGUUUUCUGUUAAUAUUUUGUUGGUUUUUUUCAGUGUUGAAAAGCUUUGAUAAAUGUUAUAUGUGAAAUGGAAGAAAACAUGAUUCAGUGGGCAGGACAUGGGAAAUCCAAAUGAAAUGGUACUGCUUUUUAAUAUGCUUUGGUAUUCACCUCCUGUAGAGAAUAAUUCACACAUAUCAAUCUUUUGUGAUGUCAAGCAAAACAUGGUACAGUUCCCAAGGGAACUGGAAUUAAUAAGUCUUUUGAUACAUCACUGACUUCUCUGUUUUGCCACUUAAUUUUCUCCAAUAGCUCACUCACUGAAUCUCUGAGGGCAGUUUCUUUUUCCAGAAAAAAAGGAUGUGGCACAUUUUUAUUCAAGAAUCAUUUUGGUGUUCUCACAUGGACAGGAAGAUGAUGUGAAAUUUCAUUCUUUAUAUAGUCAAAUAAGGCAGAGCAUCGUAUCAAUAGCACAAACUCUGGAAACAUCAUAAAGGGGCUGCUUGUUCUGUACUCUAGAGAGGCCAUGGUUUCCUGUUGAACCUCUGCCUUUGCCAGCUCCCUGUUUUGUCCUGAUGCCCAAUGCAGCAGUAGGUGGAAUGGGAGACACUGCACGAGGAUGGCCGUUGCUGAAGUGCAUGUGUUGCAUCACGUGUUGCUCACCAGAGAGAUUGUGGAGUCUCCCUCAAGAACAUCUGGACAUAAUCCUGUGCCAUGUGCUCUGAGAUGACCCUGCUUGAGCUGAGAGGUUGUACCAGACGACCCACUGGGAUCCCUUCCAACCUGACCCAUCCUAUGAAUAUAUAGCCACACAAGGAGGCAUCAAUAAUCCAGUUUUUCUGCUGUCAUCUGUGUGUCCUCUGUGGCUUGGUACUGCAGAUCCUGAUUAUUGAAUGUUCCUCAUGUCAGUGCAUCCGUGCAGGACUGUAAUUGGAAAGAGGAAAAUCUGUGAUGCUGCUGUGAGUUGUUCCUGAAGGAAGAGUUGCAAAACCAAGCAGUUCUCUGGGGUCUUAGACUGCAAGUACCAUAAUGCAGUGUGCCAAAUGUGCAUAGGAACAUUACAAACUUUGGUGAAUUUUCAUCAUCUCCACUGAAAAAAGAAAUCUUUUUAGUGGUCCUGUAGGCAGUGUGGAUGGGAGGAUUGAUUAACACGUGCUGUAACUAAGUCCCCAUAUUGCCUAAACUUUAAUUUAAGUGGGUAGUUAAAUGUUGUUGUCAGAAGUCUGGCACAGUUGAGGAGCAGGAUUCCUUCUGUCAUGCAUUGAUCAGUUGAUAGCUCUUACCAGGGGCUGCCAGGAGAGAAGGAAAUCACUUGCUGUCUGUACAAAAGCGUGUUGGCUCUGGUGCCUGGCCCGUGCAGACAAACAUGGGAAAAGUGUGCCUGUACUGGGGCCUGGGGUGGAGCCUUUCUGUCACCUUCUCACUGUUAGUUUCUGUGUUUGCACACAGCUUUCUGUCAAGCUUUAAAAUCAAACCAACUUUCUGGAAUUCAGAGCAGGCUCUGAAUUUCAAAAACUUGGUUUGAUUUUAAAGCUUGACAGAAAGAUAUGGCUCCAAUAACUCAUGAAGCCUUUUUUAAACUGCUGGUGAAACCUUGACCAUGUUGCCAUCAAUGGGAAGGUUUGAAGGCUGGAGGUUACAACUGACUUGAUCAGGAUUAGACUUUUGCCUUGUGGAUCUGUGCAUGGCUUAUAAUUAAAUUUCCAAUUACUUUUAAAGAUGCUGAAAAUGUGUGGUGCCCAUUGACUUUCUGUAGGACCUCAAUAGGAUGUUAACAUUUCAAAAGACAAAUUUUUUGUUUACUAACUUCCAAUAAGAAUUUAAGAUCAAUUUUAGACUUUUAAAUUUGAUCUUUUAGCUACUCCAUUAACUUAAGGAAGCAAUAGUACCUGUCCUACCUGUAGCUACUACUAAGGUGAGCAUGUAGAAACCCCAUAGCCUUGCACUGCAAUCUAGCCAUUUGCUAAAAGUGCAAAUGUUCUUACUUGUUUACCAGUGAGCUGUCAGCUGGGAUUUGCUUUAUUCUGCUGUAUUAUUGCUGCUUUCUCUUUUUGCUCUUGAUGUUAAUAAAAAGCUCAAUAUAAAAAUAAAAUUGUGAAAAUCAGAACUGAUGCAUGAAUAUGACAUUCAAGAGCUUUUUUUUGUCUUUCUUUUUAAAGAGAGGCAAUAUUUGCUGAAUGUGAGCAGUCUGUAUGGCUCUGUGGGUGUGCAUACCAGAGCAUGUUUCUGAGCCUUUUUGCAAUAAACUGCAUGAUCAUACUUUAGCUUUUUUGAUCCCAGAAUCUUAACACCACCUUGCAGCCAGUGACCCUAUAAUGAAUGUUGCAUUUACAUUACCAAAUCUCAUCACCAUAUGUCCGUGAGUGCUGUGGGGCUCAGAUCAGUUGAAGACUGCUGAAGUUAGGUCUGUGAAAUAAAAUACAACUGCUAUUCUUAGGUGAGGUAUUUCUGCAAAAAUUAUGUUUAACAGUAUGGAUGCCAAGGAGAAACUAAUUUGAACGGGGUUUUUCAUGAGGAAAAUAGUUUGUUAAAUACUGACAGAGAGAAUAAGUAAACUGCCUGAGUUUUAGUUUGAAAAUGUACAUACAACAAACACAGGAAGAUAACUGUACUAGUUAAGAGAUUGUUACUAACUUCUAGGGUGCAUUUUUUUCAAUAAAGUUAUCCAUGUGCUUUGAGGAGAUAGUUCAGAUUGUUUUUCCUUAGAAUGAUUGAUGACAAAGGGCAUAGAAACAGACACCCAGGCUGAAUGUGAGGGUGAGUCAUUCAGACCCAAAUACCAAGUAAAUCCAAUUAUUUUCAUUGUACUUCUCUGAAAUGAUGGUUUGGUAUAUAGCUCAGCUGGGACAGAUUUUUGGACUAGCACAGUGUCAUUUUUAAUGCCUGAUGGAUUUCCUAUCUGAUGUAGUGAUUUUUUUUUAAUAUCAUAAGAAGACUUAGUGAAGAUUUAAAUUUAAAGACAGUUUCAUGCCUUUAUAAAUUUCUGUAUGUUACAUAUGCAUAUAUAUUUUCUCACCUGAAGAAAGGUAUGACAAAGAACCAUUUUUGUAUAUAGUUUAUCAGUUCUACUGAAAAUACUUAAUUAUUCAUUGUAAAAAAGCUUUUUCUACAGGGUAAUUUAUUAUUUAUUCACAAAAUUUUUGACAAAUGAAGUUUGAAAGGUUUUAGAUGAUGAUAUUUCUACCAUGAUCUUUGGAAGACUCUUGAUGAUCAAAGAGGAACAUCAUUAUGAGCUUUUUCCUUGAUUCACAGCCUACUUUCAGUGCCCCUUUUAUUUCAAACUCUGUAAGGAAAGAAAUUACUUGAUUCUAGUGCUCUUUUGUUCCUCUGUCCUUUCAUGUGCUUGUCUAACAAUUGUCUAAUAAUUUCUGAACUGGCAGCCAAUUUUAACCAAAUUUGACUGAGGAUUAAAGGUCCCAAAACUAUUAAGGUCUUAUACACUUCAUGAAAAUUGAUACUAAAGGAGAGAGACUCAAGUUAGUGCCCCACUGAGCAAAGCUCACUCACAGCUUACCAUGGGGAAUCUGCUUAAGUGAUUGCAAGUUCAUGCUGGUAAAGUUAAACAAAUGUACAUAUACUGGCUACUUCAAGCCUUAAUUUUGUAGUGAACAACAGUACUGGCUUUUAAAGAUUUUGUAGCAAAAGUUUUCCUUGUGCUUUUUGCAUUUGGCCCUCCCUUGACUUUUCAUCUUGGCAACUGAUUUUUUGCUUCUUCAGUAGGAAGCUGCAAACAGCUUUUUAAAAGUGCACUUGAAUCAAUGUCUACUGAAUUUCAAAUGCUUUCAAAGUGGCAGCCUGUAUGUUGAGCUCACAACUCACGUGUUACUAGCAGCUCGUAUUCUGUGAGUCAUUACAAGGAAUCCUGAGAAGUUAUGGCUUGGUUCACUUCCAUCUUAGACUGAUCAUUAGAACUUUUUUUGGAUGACUGAUACAAUUUGCUUCAGAGAGAUUAAUGAAAUCCCUUCUGAUGUGAUAGAGUAAUUAAAGUUUGUUACUAGGAUAAAAUGUAUUGCUUUAGAUAUUUUCAACAUAGUUUAAUUUCCUUUCUUGCCAAAAACCACUCUUAUUUUCACAGCAUCUUUCACUUUGAAUCCAUAAACAUGCAUGGCAGUGUAGCUUGGAGUACAUCCUUACUCAGGCUGAAAUUCCACUCAUUUAGGAUUAAAAUUUUAUUCUUAAUCAUAAUGGCUUUAAUCUAGAUUAGUCCUCAGUGGAAAUAUAGACAUAGACAUUUGAUUUAAUCUCUUUACUAGACCACUUAUUCUGUCAAAGUUGGAAUAUCUAAGAGAUCACACAAAAGGCACCAGUUAAACAUGAUGGGUGCAAGCUUCCUGAGUGCCAUGAGAAUGCAGUAUUUCUCACUCUGUACUCACAGGCUUCCAGGCUGGUACCCUGGUACCACAGGUGAGAAUUUAUAUUCACCUGGCACUGGAAUUACUGUCCUGCCAUCUUGCUUGGCUUGCUAGACUUUGACAUAUCACAUCUCCAUAGGAGACCUUUAUAGGAGUUCCUCUUUAUAGUUUUCCAGGUCAAGGGGCUACAGAAAUGGUCCAUUGACAAUUAUUUCUCUUGCUUCCCUGGGAAGCUGUGCUACCAUUUCUGGAAGUGACUCUGCUGUCUGUUCUUUGCAGUGGUGCACUUGGUGAUAUUACCACCAAACACUUUUCACUUCUCUCCACUGACAUCCCAGAUCCAAGAAGGGCGUAGUCUAUCAAGCUCUCCUCAGUUAACUUCUAUCCAGGAGUUUCCUGUAAAGAAACUAAAAUUCACCCAGUACAUUCAUGCUGUAAAAUGUGUCUGCUGAAGACUGUGAUGCCUGGCCCACAGACCACCUGGUGCAGGAUGGUAACAUCCAUGCCUUACAGAGCUACUGUCCUCUGAAACAGACUGGUCAUGUUCAUAGUGUAUGAGUUUUCUGAGCUUCACGGGGUGGCCUUACAAGUUGCUAUUUUUUAUGUAUUUUUAUGAUCAAAGUGUAACAUGUGGGUUGUACUUCAGUCUUCUAGAGUGGAGAUUUCAUUAUAUGAAUCUUAAGGUAUAUGCUGCAGGGUAUGGGGUAUAGGCUGUGGGGUAUGACGGAAUGGAAUGUGGGUUUAUUUGCAAUGGUGUCGGAGGACUACACUGAGCAGGACCCACAGAGUGUAGGCUGGUCUGUGCUGUCUUUUGGGAAGAGUUGCUAGUGAGCUACCCAUAGAGCUGCCCUCCUGCUUUGAUGUGAACAGAGCUAGCUAAUUUCCUUCAAAGGAAAACCUUACCGGAGUGUAAGGUAGACAGGUGACCUCUGUCUGGGAGAUUGUCAAGGAGCUAAGCACAACGUGGACAUGUCCGCUGAGGUGCUGGUGGGAUGCAGCUCAUCUGCUAGAAGAUAUGAUGUCAUACUGGGGUAUUGCAGGAUACAAACCAGAAUACACAGCUCCUACAGGAGUUUCCUGGAGCUGUUAGUGCUUCCAAUGUAAAUCACCAGGUUUCACCAGGUCUGGAAAGUAUAACUUUUGCUGUUUUCAUGGCCUUGAUCAUGAGCCUGCCCACAAGAAAAAUAAGGCUUAGGACAGCACAAGAAACUUAAAGAACAUUUUCCUUAGCUUGAUACAACUUUUUAAUAAUGUUACUUUACUUUAUAAUCAUCACUUUGGGUCAUUUCACACUUCUUCCAAGUUUGCAAUUUGUAAUAUUGUACUGAAUGUCCUUCACUAUUUAUUUAAACCAAAACUCAGUUAAUGUUUCUCACCAUUGUUGAAUGAAACUAUUGUUUUGGAUAGUAAAAAUAGGAUUCAUUUGGUAUUUGGAUGCUUCUGGAUACUAAAAUGGUUUUGGUCGUCUCCAAGCACAUGACUAAGCUUCAUACCAGGCUCUGAGUCAUAAAAGACUAUAAGUAAUGUCUAAAUUCAUAUGCACUUCCUUGGAAGCAUUUCCAAAUUUUUUUCUUGAAGCUUUCACAGCUAUAGGUGCAUUAAUCUGUCCUUGCUGUGGAAGUAGUGAGAACUAGAUGCUUUUUCUAGGGCUUGUUCUUUUACUUUGAGAAUACAGAAGGCAUAGUUUGUGAGUUUAAGUUAUCUUUCCUCUCCUUCACAAUGUGUGCCAAUGUUGAUAUUUCAGGGCAAAUAAGGAUUGCACUUGAAAAUGACACUCCCAAUUGUCCCUACUGAGUGUUCCUUGCUUCUCGUUGUGGGAUGGUUUUGGCACACGUGCUAGAUGCCUUUGGGUGAAACUAAAUUGGAGUAUGGACUCCCAGAGCUCAUCAAAUGGACUCCAGCCACAAUAGGGCAUUUAGUCUAUGGGACCAAUCUAGAGUUAGUCUAGAAAUCUCUAAAACAACCCCCAAGGAAAAAGCAAGAAAAAGAUCCUUUAAAUGUGAGUACUGUGGGUUUCAAGUAUUUCACACUGAGUGUUCUGCUCUACCAAUGCUGUCCUCUUGGUCUUCUGUGGAUGUGGAAACCACGACGCACAAUGCAGAUGUUAUGUGCUUUUGAAGAAGAGAAUGUCUUGGAGUUAUGAGAAGAGCUUCCUGAUUCUUACAGAACAAGAAUGUAUGAGCACUAUACUAUCUGGGGUUUAGUAUCUGGGUAACCACUACAGCACUGAACCUUGUCUAGACACAUAGUUGCAUGUUGCCCUUCAUAACGAAUUAAAGUCCUCCUAAUUGAAAACCUCUUUGUGUAGGGGGAGGAUGGGAAAAGCAGAGCAGUUUUCAGAUGUGUAUUAGGGUUUUUUUACAUUGAUUUUACCUUUUUUUCAGAGGAGUUAUUCUAGAGUUGCACUUUUUAACAAUGGAAGAAUCAAGGGCUAUGACUUGCCGUCCCUAUUUUAUUUAUGUGCCCAAAAAUACCUUGGAGGUUAUUCAAAUAAAUGCAAUCCAUUCCAUUUACUUGACUGUCUGAUGGCUUAAUCAUGCAAAUAAAUGUGAGGAUGAUAUUUA